rnacentral:rRNA from 1 species
CAAGUCGAACGGCAGCACGGGUGCUUGCACCUGGUGGCGAGUGGCGAACGGGUGAGUAAUAUAUCGGAACGUACCCUAGAGUGGGGGAUAACGUAGCGAAAGUUACGCUAAUACCGCAUACGAUCUACGGAUGAGAGUGGGGGAUCGCAAGACCUCAUGCUCAUGGAGCGGCCGAUAUCUGAUUAGCUAGUUGGUGGGGUAAAAGCCUACCAAGGCGACGAUCAGUAGCUGGUCUGAGAGGACGACCAGCCACACUGGAACUGAGACACGGUCCAGACUCCUACGGGAGGCAGCAGUGGGGAAUUUUGGACAAUGGGGGCAACCCUGAUCCAGCAAUGCCGCGUGAGUGAAGAAGGCCUUCGGGUUGUAAAGCUCUUUUGUCAGGGAAGAAACGGUGAAAGCUAAUAUCUUUUGCUAAUGACGGUACCUGAAGAAUAAGCACCGGCUAACUACGUGCCAGCAGCCGCGGUAAUACGUAGGGUGCAAGCGUUAAUCGGAAUUACUGGGCGUAAAGCGUGCGCAGGCGGUUGUGCAAGACAGAUGUGAAAUCCCCGGGCUCAACCUGGGAAUUGCAUUUGUGACUGCACGGCUAGAGUGUGUCAGAGGGGGGUAGAAUUCCACGUGUAGCAGUGAAAUGCGUAGAGAUGUGGAGGAAUACCGAUGGCGAAGGCAGCCCCCUGGGAUAACACUGACGCUCAUGCACGAAAGCGUGGGGAGCAAACAGGAUUAGAUACCCUGGUAGUCACGCCCUAAACGAUGUCUACUAGUUGUCGGGUCUUAAUUGACUUGGUAACGCAGCUAACGCGUGAAGUGACCGCCUGGGGAGUACGGUCGCAAGAUUAAAACUCAAAGGAAUUGACGGGGACCCGCACAAGCGGUGGAUGAAUGUGGAUUUAAUUCGAUGCACCGCGAAAAACCUUA